AUUAUAUUAGUUUAAUAAAAAUUUUACUUUGUGAAUGUAAAGAUUCUUUAGAAUAUAAUA
rnacentral:tRNA from 1 species